AUCGUUUAUUUGAUAGUACCUUACUACUUGGAUAACCGUGGUAAUUCUAGAGCUAAUACAUGCUAAAAAUCCCGACUUCGGAAGGGAUGUAUUUAUUAGAUUAAAAACCAAUGCCCUUCGGGGCUCACUGGUGAUUCAUAAUAACUUCUCGAAUCGCAUGGCCUUGCGCCGGCGAUGGUUCAUUCAAAUUUCUUCCCUAUCAACUUUCGAUGCUAGAGUAGUGUUCUAGCAUGGUUACAACGGGUAACGGAGGGUUAGGGCUCGACCCCGGAGAAGGAGCCUGAGAAACGGCUACUACAUCCAAGGAAGGCAGCAGGCGCGCAAAUUACCCAAUCCCGACUCGGGGAGGUAGUGACGAUAAAUACUGAUACAGGGCUCUUUUGGGUCUUGUAAUUGGAAUGAGUACAAUUUAAAUCCCUUAACGAGGAACAAUUGGAGGGCAAGUCUGGUGCCAGCAGCCGCGGUAAUUCCAGCUCCAAUAGCGUAUAUUAAAGUUGUUGUGGUUAAAAAGCUCGUAGUAGAACCUUGGGCCUGGCUGGCCGGUCCGCCUCACCGCGUGCACUGGUCCGGCCGGGCCUUUCCCUCUGUGGAACCGCAUGCCCUUCACUGGGUGUGCCGGGGAAACAGGACUUUUACUUUGAAAAAAUUAGAGUGCUCCAGGCAGGCCUAUGCUCGAAUACAUUAGCAUGGAAUAAUAGAAUAGGACGUGUGGUUCUAUUUUGUUGGUUUCUAGGACCGCCGUAAUGAUUAAUAGGGACAGUCGGGGGCAUCAGUAUUCAAUUGUCAGAGGUGAAAUUCUUGGAUUUAUUGAAGACUAACUACUGCGAAAGCAUUUGCCAAGGAUGUUUUCAUUUAUCAGGAACGAAAGUUAGGGGAUCGAAGACGAUCAGAUACCGUCGUAGUCUUAACCAUAAACUAUGC
rnacentral:rRNA from 1 species